AUACUUAUUUGGCAGGGGAGAUACCCUGAUCAUGAAGGGGGGUUCUCCUAGGGUGAGGCUCAGCUGUUGCACUCUGGCUGUGCUGACCCCUGCGAUCUCCCCAAACGCGGGAACCUUGACUGCAUGUUUUCUGGUAGUGGGGGGCUGUGUGCGUGCUUUCCCCGA